UCAAGCUACUAAGGGCAUACGGUGGAUGCCUAGGCGCCAAGAGCCGAAGAAGGACGCGGUAAGCUGCGAAAAGCCACGGGGAACUGCAAGCAAGUAUUGAUCCGUGGAUAUCCGAAUGGGGAAACCCGGCCAUCGUCAUGGAUGGUCACCCGCAAGGGAGGGAACCUGGGGAACUGAAACAUCUAAGUACCCGGAGGAAGAGAAAUCAAACGAGAUGCCCACAGUAGCGGCGAGCGAAGAGGGCAGAGCCCAAACCGAGAAGCUCCGGCUUUUCGGGGUUGAGGACCGGCAGAAUCGAAGUCAGGCCUAGUUGAAUUACCUGGAAAGGUAAGCGAGAGAGGGUAAAAGCCCCGUAGACGAAAGGCAGAGCAGAGAGGCCGAGAUCCAGAGUACCACGAAGCACGAGGAAUUUUGUGGGAAGCAGGGGGGACCACCCUCCAAGGCUAAAAACUACUUGGCGACCGAUAGCGCAUAGUACCGUGAGGGAAAGGUGAAAAGAACCCCGGGAGGGGAGUGAAAUAGUACCUGAAACCGUAUGUCUACAAGCAGUCGAAGCGAAAGCGACGGCGUGCCUAUUGAAGAAUGAACCAACGAGUUAUCUGCACUAGCGAGGUUAAGUGGAAGACACGGAGCCGCAGCGAAAGCGAGUCUUAAGAGGGCGCUAGUUAGUGUAGGUAGACCCGAAACCGCAGUGAUCUACCCAUGUCCAGGUUGAAGCGCAGGUAAAAUUGCGUGGAGGACCGAACCGGUGAGCGUUGAAAAGCUUUCGGAUGAGAUGUGGGUAGGGGUGAAAUUCCAAUCGAACGCGGAGAUAGCUGGUUCUCCCCGAAAUAGCUUUAGGGCUAGCCUGAGGUAGUAAGUAUAGGCGGUAGAGCACUGAUCGGGCUAGGGGCCGUAAAGGUUACCGAACCCUGUCAAACUCCGAAUGGAUAUACUGUAGAGCCUUGGAGUCAGACUACGAGUGAUAAGAUCCGUGGUCAAAAGGGAAACAGCCCAGACCACCAGCUAAGGUCCCCAAUGUCGUACUAAGUGGAAAAGGAUGUGGGGUUUCAUAAACAACCAGGAUGUUGGCUCAGAAGCAGCCACCAUUUAAAGAGUGCGUAAUAGCUCACUGGUCGAGAGACCCUGCGCCGAAGAUUCCCGGGGCUAAAGUACGAAACCGAAGCUGUGGCUGUAUACGUAAAGUAUACGGGGUAGGGGAGCGUUCCCAUAGGGUAGAAGUCGAACUGGAAGGUUCGGUGGACUUGUGGGAAGUGAGAAUGUUGGUAUGAGUAGCGAAAAGAAAGGUGAGAAUCCUUUCCACCGAAAGCAUAAGGAUUCCUGAGCAACGAUCGUCGUCUCAGGGUAAGUCGGGACCUAAUCCGAGGCAGAGAGCGUAGGAGAUGGACAACUGGUUGAUAUUCCAGUACCGGUAGUAAUUGUUUGAGCAAUGGAGUGACACAGAAGGGCAGGCAAGCAUGCGAAUGGAAGAGCAUGUGUAAGCGUGUAGGGUGGUGCAUAGGCAAAUCCGUGCACUGAAAGCCUGAGGCGUGAUGCGGAGUGAGCAGAGAUGCGAGCGAAGUUGUUGACCCCACACUGUCGAGAAAAGCUUCUAGUGAGAGAGCUACCGCCCGUACCGUAAACCGACACAGGUAUGCGGGGAGAGAAUCCUAAGGUGCGCGGGAGAACCCUCGUUAAGGAACUCGGCAAAAUGUACCCGUAACUUCGGGAUAAGGGUAGCCACUGUUGUGAAGUCCCAUGCGGAUGGAGCAUAGAGUGGUCGCAGAGAAGAGGCCCAAGCGACUGUUUACCAUAAACACAGGUGCCUGCUAAAGCGAAAGCUGACGUAUAGGUGCUGACACCUGCCCAGUGCCGGAAGGUUAAGGAAGGAUGUUCGGAGUAAUCCAAAGCAUUCGACUGAAGCCCCGGUGAACGGCGGCCGUAACUAUAACGGUCCUAAGGUAGCGAAAUUCCUUGUCGGGUAAGUUCCGACCCGCACGAAAGGUG
rnacentral:rRNA from 1 species